ACUAUAGCUUGACACUGAACAUUGAGCCUUGAUGUGUAGGAUAGGUGGGAGGCUUUGAAGUGUGGACGCCAGUCUGCAUGGAGCCGACCUUGAAAUACCACCCUUUAAUGUUUGAUGUUCUAACGUUGACCCGUAAUCCGGGUUGCGGACAGUGUCUGGUGGGUAGUUUGACUGGGGCGGUCUCCUCCUAAAGAGUAACGGAGGAGCACGAAGGUUGGCUAAUCCUGGUCGGACAUCAGGAGGUUAGUGCAAUGGCAUAAGCCAGCUUG
rnacentral:rRNA from 1 species